GGCUCUGGGUCACCUCCCACCCGUGUUUAUUGUACCUUGUUGCUUCGGUGCGCCCGCCUCACGGCCGCCGGGGGGCUUCUGCCCCCGGGUCCGCGCGCACCGGAGACACCAUUGAACUCUGUCUGAAGAUUGCAGUCUGAGCAUAAACUAAAUAAGUUAAAACUUUCAACAACGGAUCUCUUGGUUCCGGCAUCGAUGAAGAACGCAGCGAAAUGCGAUAACUAAUGUGAAUUGCAGAAUUCAGUGAAUCAUCGAGUCUUUGAACGCACAUUGCGCCCCCUGGUAUUCCGGGGGGCAUGCCUGUCCGAGCGUCAUUGCUGCCCUCAAGCACGGCUUGUGUGUUGGGCUCCGUCCCCCCGGGGACGGGCCCGAAAGGCAGCGGCGGCACCGAGUCCGGUCCUCGAGCGUAUGGGGCUUUGUCACCCGCUCUGUAGGCCCGGCCGGCGCCAGCCGACAACCCAUCAUCCUUUUCAGGUUGACCUCGGAUCAGGUAGGGAUACCCGCUGAACUUAAGCAUAUCAAUAAGCCGGAGGA
rnacentral:rRNA from 1 species